UGGGGAAUUUUGGACAAUGGGCGCAAGCCUGAUCCAGCAAUGCCGCGUGUGUGAAGAAGGCCUUCGGGUUGUAAAGCACUUUUGUCCGGAAAGAAAUCCGUCUGGCUAAUACCCGGACGGGAUGACGGUACCGGAAGAAUAAGCACCGGCUAACUACGUGCCAGCAGCCGCGGUAAUACGUAGGGUGCGAGCGUUAAUCGGAAUUACUGGGCGUAAAGCGUGCGCAGGCGGCUUUGUAAGACAGAUGUGAAAUCCCCGGGCUCAACCUGGGAACUGCAUUUGUGACUGCAAGGCUAGAGUGCGUCAGAGGGAGGUGGAAUUCCGCGUGUAGCAGUGAAAUGCGUAGAGAUGCGGAGGAACACCGAUGGCGAAGGCAGCCUCCUGGGAUGACACUGACGCUCAUGCACGAAAGCGUGGGGAGCAAACA
rnacentral:rRNA from 1 species